CCCAUGGCUCCUCUCUAUUGGCACCUCUCUAUUUCACACAGAGCUGACAUUAAAGCUUUGUCAGAGCUAUUUAAAGAGCUGUCAGAAUUCAACAGCACUUACAGCGUUAUAACAACCAACUCGAAAAAAAUUUAAACAAACAAUUUUAAUAAUUUCUGUAUAACAAAUAAUUAAUCAAAUAGGCCAAAUCCCAUGUCAUCAUCAGAUUCUUCAGAUUCUUCCUUCUUCUCUUCUUUCUUCUCCUCAGCGGCAGCAGGAGCAGCACCUGCAGCAGGAGCAGCAGAGACUCCUCCAGUAGAGACUGCCACAGCUCCCCCAGCUGGCAUGCUGGCAAGCUUUCCAUUACCCUGAGCAAUGACGUCUUCGAUGUUUUUUCCAUUCAGCUCACUAAUAACCUUGUUCAGGCGUUCAUCAUCUGUCUCGAUGCCAACGCUGUCAAGGAUCUUUUUCAAGUCCUUUGACGUGGGGGACUCAUUGCCACCAAGGACUGCGAGAAGGUAUGCUGCAACGUAACGCAUCUUGGCGAGGUGGUGGCGUGAGACGGGCCCGGGACGUGCGGUCGCUGCGGCAGCCCGGCGGCGAAAAGGAAAGGGCGGGGCUCCGGCAACGCCUUCUUCCCGUCACCCCUCAAC
rnacentral:lncRNA from 1 species